rnacentral:rRNA from 1 species
CCUACGGGGGGCAGCAGUGAGGAAUAUUGGUCAAUGGGCGGAAGCCUGAACCAGCCAAGUCGCGUGAGGGAUUAAGGCCCUGCGGGUCGUAAACCUCUUUUGCCGGGGAGCAGAGGUCCGGACGUGUCCGGGCCGGGAGAGUACCCGGAGAAAAAGCAUCGGCUAACUCCGUGCCAGCAGCCGCGGUAAUACGGAGGAUGCGAGCGUUAUCCGGAUUUAUUGGGUUUAAAGGGUGCGUAGGCGGACGCUUAAGUCAGCGGUAAAAUUGCGGGGCUCAACCUCGUCGAGCCGUUGAAACUGGGUGCCUUGAGUGGGCGAGAAGUACGCGGAAUGCGUGGUGUAGCGGUGAAAUGCAUAGAUAUCACGCAGAACUCCGAUUGCGAAGGCAGCGUACCGGCGCCCAACUGACGCUGAAGCACGAAGGCGUGGGGAUCGAACAGGAUUAGAUACCCUAGUAGUC